rnacentral:rRNA from 1 species
CACGAACGCUGGCGGCAGGCUUAACACAUGCAAGUCGAGCGCCCCGCAAGGGGAGCGGCAGACGGGUGAGUAACGCGUGGGAAUCUACCCAUCUCUACGGAAUAACGCAUGGAAACGUGUGCUAAUACCGUAUACGUCCUUCGGGAGAAAGAUUUAUCGGAGAAGGAUGAGCCCGGGUUGGAUUAGCUAGUGGGUGGGGUAAAGGCCUCCCAAUGCCACGAUCCAUAGCUGGUGUGAGAGGAUGAUCAGCCACACUGGGACGGAGACAUGGCCCAGACUCCUACGGGAGGCAGCAGUGGGGAAUAUUGGACAAUGGGCGCAAGCCUGAUCCAGCCAUGCCGCGUGAGUGAUGAAGGCCCUAGGGUUGUAAAGCUCUUUCACCGGUGAAGAUAAAGACGGUAACCGGAGAAGAAGCCCCGGCUAACUUCGUGCCAGCCGCCGCCGUAAUAC